rnacentral:rRNA from 1 species
UACGUGGGGGGCUAGCGUUGCUCGGAAUCACUGGGCGUAAAGGGUGCGUAGGCGGGUCUUUAAGUCAGGGGUGAAAUCCUGGAGCUCAACUCCAGAACUGCCUUUGAUACUGAAGAUCUUGAGUUCGGGAGAGGUGAGUGGAACUGCGAGUGUAGAGGUGAAAUUCGUAGAUAUUCGCAAGAACACCAGUGGCGAAGGCGGCUCACUGGCCCGAUACUGACGCUGAGGCACGAAAGCGUGGGGAGCAAACAGG